rnacentral:rRNA from 1 species
AGAAUCAACGCUGGCGGCGUGCCUAACACAUGCAAGUCGAACGAGAAAGGGGAGCAAUCCCUGAGUAAAGUGGCGCACGGGUGAGUAACACGUGACUAACCUACCCUUGAGUGGGGGAUAACUGAGGGAAACCUUAGCUAAUACCGCAUAAUACCCACGGGUCAAAGGAGCAAUUCGCUCGAGGAGGGGUCGCGGCCGAUUAGUUAGUUGGCGGGGUAAUGGCCCACCAAGACGAUGAUCGGUAUCCGGCCUGAGAGGGCGCACGGACACACUGGAACUGAAACACGGUCCAGACUCCUACGGGAGGCAGCAGUGGGAAUUUUGCGCAAUGGGGAAACCCUGACGCAGCAACGCCGCGUGGAGGAUGAAGUCCUUCGGGACGUAAACUCCUUUCGAUCGGGACGAUUAUGACGGUACCGGAAGAAGAAGCCCCGGCUAACUUCGUGCCAGCAGCCGC